GACGAACGCUGGCGGCGUGCCUAAUACAUGCAAGUCGAGCGGAAAUUUUAUUGGUGCUUGCACCUUUAAAAUUUUAGCGACGGACGGGUGAGUAACACGUGGGUAACCUACCUUAUAGAUUGGGAUAACUCCGGGAAACCGGGGCUAAUACCGAAUAAUACUUUUUAACACAUGUUUUGAAGUUGAAAGACGGUCUUGCUGUCACUAUAAGAUGGACCGCGGCGCAUUAGCUAGUUGGUUGAGGUAACGGCUCACCAAGGCAACGAUGCGUAGCCGACCUGAGAGGGUGAUCGGCCACAC
rnacentral:rRNA from 1 species